rnacentral:lncRNA from 1 species
AGGAGUCAGUGAUGCUCAGUGAAUGAGUGCUCAAAAAAAGGCUCUGGGAGGCAGUUAACAGGAGUGGAAGAGGAACAAGAGGCAGCAGAAGAAAGGCCCCAAGAGAAAGGUGGUUGUGAUGUCUUUGCUUCAACUUGCGAGUCAUGGGUUAGUUGGAACAGCCCUGCUCUACAUGUCUCUCAUUCAUCUGGGGUCAGCAUAAAACUGCCUUUGCAGAAUUAUGACAUAAUUCCAGAAGCCAUAUGGAAGAUUGACCAGAGGGGCAAUGCUAGAGGCUGGAUGGUUAUUGAAAUUGCCUGGUGAAGCACUAUUGAGGAGCUGAAAUGGGAAAGGAACAGUCGGAAUAGAAGAGAAGAAGUGCUCGUAAGUGGUAUUAACUCUCUUGGUUUACAUCCUUGGUUUGUAAGAGGAGGAUGUCCACAAAGUUUUGUGAAUUGCCCAAGAUUGCUAAGUUAAUAAGCAGCUGUUCAGAACCUUAGUCCAGCACACUUUUUAUCCCAUUGGUAGAAUAGUGGGAAAAGAAACUAAUGGAAAUAAAAAAUCUUUGACUUUGAGAAUUAGACUUUGGGGAGCUUAUCUAAUGCAAACACUCAAUGCCAUCAGAUUUUGUUCAUAACUGAUUUUAAAUGUGAACCUCCUCAAAGAUAUUACUUUCUUCUUAACUUAUAAGACCUGCCAAUAGGUAAACAUCAAACAGAUAAUGUAUUCAUUUUUCAACCUUGAUUUAGACUCUUUUUCUAUUACCUUCUGGGAAAUCCUCAGCUUAAGAAAGAAAUAUUUUUAUCUUUCUCACCUCUAAACGUGUCCUAGUGCUGGAACAGUUAGCAUUCUAAUCAGCAUGGCUCCCAACCAUCUGUGAUGAGAUUUCUUUGGGAGGAUUCAACUCAGUCUGUAAUGCUCAGAAGUAGUUAAUCCACUUGAGCUUAAAGCAGAAAGAAAAUAGAGAAAGGAAAAUUGCUGGGAG